ensembl:miRNA
AGUUUCUGGCUGAAGGAGCUCCAAGCUCCAUCAACUUGGACUCUCACAGCUACGAACGCACC